rnacentral:rRNA from 1 species
AGCAGCCGCGGUAAUUCCAGCUCCAAUAGCGUAUAUUAAAGUUGUUGCAGUUAAAAAGCUCAUAGUUGAAUUUUAGGCCUGAUCGGGCGGUCCGUCUCUGACGAGUACUGUCCUGUUGUCGGGUCUAUCCUUCUGGUGAGCCGAUAUGUCCUUUACUGGGUGUGUCGGGGAACCAGGACCAUUACCUUGAAAAAUUAGAGUGUUUAAAGCGGGCUUUUGCUUGAAUAGAUUAGCAUGGAAUAAUAGAAUAGGACGUUGGUUCUAUUUUGUUGGUCGAGGACCACCGUAAUGAUUAAUAGGGAUAGUUGGG